GUUUGGUUCAUAUCUCCCAACACCCAGUGCUCACCCAUGCCCAGCACCCAGGGGUUAGGAGUGAGCCCAGCAGAUGACAGAAUCGACAGUUGAACCAAGGAGGCCGGCCACACAACCCCACCUGGGGCCCAUCUUUUGACAUACCACUGGAAAUAGCAGCUUCACAGCAAGAGACACUGACGUCUGUCCCAGCAAAUCUGUAACUGUUGCCAGGCGUGGUGGCACACACCUUCAAUCCUGACCCUCGGAGGCAGAGGUACCGCUGUUUCUUCAAUUGCUAAGUAGGGAGCCAGCGAAAGUUCUCGAGCCUUUAGGGAAUCAAAAACGAAUGAAGUGUGUGGUGAUGAUGAAUCCAGCUUGUGAGGAUGGAAGAUAAGUGCCCAGUGACUCCCCCCACUUCCUCUCAGAGUUUGGGGACCGAUGGACCAUGCAGACCAAACUUCCCAGACUUCUGUGGUGUCGCAGCCAGAAAGACACGGGGGUCAUUUGUCGAUUUGAGUCAUAGCAGUGUCUCCCGCAGCUGCCGGAGCAGGAAGGCUGGAAAUCAGAGAUAUAUAUUUUUUUGAGACUGCUUUAUAACAACCUUACAAAAAUUCCUUUGUUUUAUGCUUCCCUGAAGAAGAGUCACUGAACCACGACAGCUUCCCCUCCAGCAGCCCCAGCUGCAAAUCAAGACGGCCUUGCACCUGCUGGGCACAGGUGGCUGAGGGGACCUCUGCACUGGCAUCCAUCUCUCUUUCCCCAUCACGCCUUGAGUCUCCAAGUCAGCGGCACAGCCACCUCUCUUUGUGUCCACUUUGGCCGCAGAGGCAAAAAUAUGGCCCUGUUAGCACAGCCAUUCUGCACUUAGGUCCUCUGUUCUUUCUCUGCUCACCCAGUUAAUAUUUGAUAUUGCUGCCUGGUGAAAUCUUCUGCUACCCCAGGGUCUGGAGGGGACUUGGUCUUUGUCAUAGUCCCGAACGGAUGAACUCACUUGGCAAUUAGCCUAUGCCUUUCUUAUUAUUUAUUUAUUUGAGAGAGAAAAAUGGAGAGAGAGAGAGAGGGAGAGAGAAUGGACAUGCCAGGGCCUCCAGCCA